CUUUGUGUCAACUGAAGAUAAGCCCUCGCACAAUGGAACCAGAACCAGAACGAGAACGACGACCACUCGCUAGAGAUCCUUUUACCCUCGGACAAUGCUAAGUAGGAGUAAAUGCAUCCAUCAGACACUCGGGUGGCGAAAAAGCGAAGGGGACUGCGAAAAAAAAAAUUGAUGAGUUAAUUAACGCGCAUCGCCAACAUUCCGUUCGACUAAUAACCAACUUGUAGACGACAGCCAGGCCAUGGAGGAGAUGGCCUCAGAUGGGAACGGGAAUGGCAAUGGAGUGUGGGCAUAUGGCUAUACCCAUAGUAUGGCUAUGGGUAUGGGUAUGGGCAUGGGGCAACCAUAUUUAUGAGCAUGGCUUCGUUCAGUUGUCGAUCUGGCACUUCAAUGUCAGUUGUUCAUCAUCAUCGCAUCGCAUCGCGCGGAUCCAAUGAUCAUCGCAUCGCCACUGAAGGAGGGACAGCAGAACAGAAUCUCCGGGAGUAUCAUGACUGCAAUGCGUUCUUUAAUUGAGUUUUGCGUUGCAUUUGCGCAACUGCAACUUCGGACUCUUUAUGGCCAAGCAAGAAGCAAGAAGCAAGUAGCAAAAGCCACCACCAGUGGCAUCCACAUCCACAUCAACAUCCACGGCAGCAGCAACGUGGCAUAUUAUCACACAACCAUUAAAUAUGAUGAAGACUGCCAAGGCGACUGAGGAAUCCUAGAGAUGGAAGUAUCAUGUGAUCGUGAUCGUUUAUGAACAAUCAAAAUAUAUGGCGCCCAACGUAAAAACAAUUAUAUAGGAAAAUUCCU
ensembl:ncRNA lncRNA:CR43649 long non-coding RNA:CR43649